rnacentral:rRNA from 1 species
UACAGAGGUCCCAAGCGUUGUUCGGAUUCACUGGGCGUAAAGGGUGCGCAGGUGGGUUUGCAAGUUCGAUGUGAAAGCCCCCGGGGCUUAACCCGGGAAUGGCAUUGGAUACUGCAGAUCUGGAGGAUCGGAGGGGGGACUGGAAUUCGUUGGUGUGCAGUGAAAUGCGUAGAUAUCAAGAGGAACACCAGUGGCGAAGGCGAGUCCCUGGACGAUACCUGACCACUGAGGCACGAAAGCUAGGGGAGCAAACAGG